rnacentral:misc_RNA from 1 species
UUAAGUUCAGCGGGUAGUCCCAUCUGAUUUGAGGUCUAAAGUUCAGAUUGGUGGUUCGAAGCUACACCAUAUGAUUCGGCUGCCUGUACAGGCAUCCCCAAUGAAAGACUUAUCACAUUGGGUCAAUCCGAGUAAUACAGAGAUUGCUUAUGCAUUUGAAGCGAGCUGCGGUGAAGCAGCAACGCCUAACAUCCAACCAA